UAGCCAUGCUCGGGAGCGGUGCUUUCUGGGAACUGUGGUCUUCUUACGUCCUGGAGGGAUACCUAGGCAAUCCCCGAAACUACAAUGCCCAAAAUGCUCCAAGUGGGAAGCGCCCAGAGUGAAGGAGCAAAGGGGACUCGGCCGCCAUGUUAGGAGUACUGGGACGAUUCCGCGGAGCCGGGCAGAGGAAUGAUUAACAAAGGCGUCCGAAGAAAUCGUUGUUGGAAGGUGGCCAAAGUGGAAAGAGAGGUUGCUUUGGCCCUGCAAGUAAGAAGAGAGAAGGAAUAGCCUGAAGGAGUAACACUAAAUUUAAAAUGACACUUUUUUACCAACCAGCGAAAGCAGAUGUUCAAAGGGGAUAUUGGCCAGAGUCUGUCACACUAAGAUGAGAAAUAUCCUUUCUUCCUGAAGGUGUCUGAUGUGUAAAAAUACUGAUAUACUUUGUGCUGUUUCCUCCCUUCCCUUUUGCACAUUAUUCUGAAACAACAUUAACUAGUUACUUUGCGUCAUUGAAGAUUUUGCACUAGCAAAGUGCACUGUUUCAGACAAUCAAGGAAAUAAAAC
rnacentral:lncRNA from 1 species